rnacentral:rRNA from 1 species
AGUGAACGCUGGCGGCAGGCCUAACACAUGCAAGUCGAGCGGGGCGGCGGACGGGGGAGUAAUGCCAAGGAAUCUGCCUGGUAGUGGGGGAUAAAGUCAGGAAAGGGGCGCUAAUACCGCAUACUAUCAGAUGAGCCUAGGUCGGAUUAGCUAGUGGGUGGGGUAAAGGCCUACCAGGGCGACGAUCCGUACCUGGUCUGAGAGGAGGAUCAGUCACACUGGAACUGGGACACGGUCCAGACUCCUACGGGAGGCAGCAGUGGGGAAUAUUGGACAAUGGGCGAAAGCCUGCUCCAGCCAUGCCGCGGGUGUGAAGAAGGUCUUCGGAUUGUAAAGCACUUUAAGUUGGGAGGCGUUACCAACAGAAUAAGCACCGGCUAACUUCGUGCCAGCAGCCGCGGUAAUUC